rnacentral:rRNA from 1 species
UACGAGGGGUGCAAGCGUUGCUCGGAAUUAUUGGGCGUAAAGGGCAGGUAGGUGGUCUCAUUUGUCAGGGGUGAAAGCCUUGGGCUUAACCCAAGAAGUGCCCCUGAAACGGCGAGACUCGAGUACUGGAGAGGGUCGUGGAAUUCCCGGUGUAGCGGUGAAAUGCGUAGAGAUCGGGAGGAACACCAGAGGCGAAGGCGGCGACCUGGACAGUAACUGACACUCAACUACGAAAGCGUGGGGAGCAAACAGG